rnacentral:rRNA from 1 species
UACGUAGGGGGCGAGCGUUAUCCGGAUUCAUUGGGCGUAAAGCGCGCGUAGGCGGCCGCCUAAGCGGGACCUCUAACCCCGGGGCUCAACCCCGGGCCGGGUCCCGGACUGGGCGGCUCGAGUGCGGUAGAGGAGAGCGGAAUUCCCGGUAUAGCGGUGGAAUGCGCAGAUAUCGGGAAGAACACCGAUGGCGAAGGCAGCUCUCUGGGCCGUCACUGACGCUGAGGCGCGAAAGCUGGGGGAGCGAACAGG